rnacentral:lncRNA from 1 species
GUCCAGCCCUAACAGUGUGUAUAAAUAGCAAACAGCGGUUCACUGCCGGACAGAUGACCUUUGAUCAAGCUUCUGAUGUGAACUGACACUUAUUCUGCAUUAUAUAUGUACACUAAACAUUGUUUUUUGGUUUUUGUUUUUCUGUUAGAGUAAUAUUUUAAUGUUCAUGGCAAACUUCUAAUUCAUAUCACAAGCAUCAUUUUAUGAAUUUGUUACCAUUUAUUAGGCAAGAGAACAAAGGAGUUUAACAUUUAAAUGGGUUACACUUUAUUUCGAUUGUCCACUUCUACUAACUGUAAUUAACGACAUGCUAACUAACUGUCAUCAGAGCGUUUGCAGACUGUCAGGUUACACAGUAAAUUACAGUCAGUAGAUCAUCUGUUGACUGACCAUCAAAUUAAAAUUUUAGUUUUAAUGUUUAAUGUUUCAAUGAAAACAAAAACGAGUUUUCCUGUAAAUGGACCUCGCGCUCGACGCCUCUAUGACGCGCCCAGUGUGCGCGCGCGUGAUCUCACCGCGGGAGCGCGCCAGAAGACAGACGUGCGCGAGCUCAUGAGUUUAAUCUUAUAUUUUUGCCCCAGAAUGAACAAUACCAGCGAGAAUGAGCCCAACAGCCCGGAAGAAGAGUCAUUUCUCAUGUCAGGACUCUGUUUGUCAGUGGUUUGCCGCUGGAGAGCUUUACCUGUUAUUCAGGCCUUUUCAGGGUUACAAAGGAUCCUUAAUCAAAUUUACCUCUAAGCAGCCGGUGGGGUUUGUGAGUUUUGACAGUCGCUCAGAAGCGGAGGCUCCUUGUGUGGUGAUUUUGACAGAAGACACUUUUACACACACAUAAGCGCUGCAGUCUUCACACACACAGAGUCACAUUUCUGUAUGAAAUAGUAGAACAGUGCAGAUUUGAGCAGUUGUGGGAACUCAAGUGUGAAUCUAUCCAGAAGCGCUUUUGCCCUGAAAUCGAGACAAUCCAUAGAUUAAAGAGCUUCACCUGCCUCUCUCUCUCUCUCUCUGGUCUUCAUUGAUCAGGAUGUGGUUGUAAUCUCAGUGUGAACAGGAGAGAUUGAUCUUGAGAGGAUUUGAGCUCUGCAGUUAAUAAAUCUUAAAAUUACAUUUAGGGUUUUUUUUUUUUUGAAUAUGAUAGACAAGAAAAAGAAAAAGGUAAGUACUAGUAUUAGUUGGUUAAGUGCAGGCGAAAAAGAUGAGUCUUUAGAUGUUUUUUGAAAUUGAGUAAAGACUCAGCUGUUUGAAUUGAGAUCGGGAGGUCAUUCCACCAGCUGGGAGCAGUCCAGGAAAAAGUCCGUGAGAGUGAUUUUGAACCUCUUUGGGAUGGCACCACAAGGCGUCGUUCACUUGCAGAGCGCAAACUUCUGGAGGGUGCAUAAGACAGAACUAGUGAGUUUAGGUAAGCUGGCGCCGUGCCAGUGGUCGUCUUGUAGGCAAGCAUCAGUACCUUGAAUUUGAUGCGAGCGGCUACGGGUAGCCAGUGUAACCUGAUGAGGAGAGGAGUAACAUGGGCUGUUUUUGGCUCAUUGAAGACAACCCUCGCUGCUGCAUUCUGGAUCAGUUGUAGAUGUUGCCUAUAUACGUAAAUUAAAGGUUUUAAAAUAAAAUGUUAAUUGGCACAUUACUAAAUUAAGUUUUUUUUUUUUUUAAAUGUCAGGAUAAGUGUCAAUAAUUAAACAAGUAGGUUAUAUAUUCAGCUAAUUGUCAGCCUCUUAUGCUUCUCGUAAACAAUUAGUCAGUAUAAAUUAAGACUGCCCUCGACUAAAGAUUUUAAGCAGAAGUCGACUAUUAGUCGCACUUUUAUUAAUAAAUCAAAAUAAUGAGAUUUUAAUUGCCUACAUAGGCUAAUAAGCGCUCAAGCGCACGCAAAAAAGGCUUCCCACAGCGAACCGAAAUAUAGUAAUUAUGAAUGUGUUAUGAAUUUUGAAUUCUUGUCGCUUCAUAACGUUACGGUUGAAUCACGGAUGACAGAUGGAGUAUUCUGAUAAUGCUUUUCACUCUUUCCUGGAGCUUGACACUGUUAUUUAUUUGGCAGUCUAUGGGACAGUCUCAAGCCUCCCUGUCUUCAUCCAGAACAUCUUAAAUUGUGUUCAGAAGACGAACAAAGCUUUUACGGGUUUGGAACGACAUGAGGGUAAGUGAUUAAUGACAACAUUUUCAUUUUGGGGUGGAGUAUCCCUUUAAUAAAAAGUGUUUCUGCAUCUGUACUAAUGAUAAUAUCACAAAUAUUUUAUUUUAUAGUCCAUGAAUUUAGAUGACCUGUAGUCUGUUACUGUGGUUUUUACUCUUCUUUACUCUGUUGAUGUGAUCUCAGGCUGCUGUGAACCACAGGACAAUCCGAACCUCCACAUGAGCAGACCUCCUCGCUCCCUGUUCCUUCCCUUCUUACAUUGUUUGUCAAGUUUAUUAUAGUUAAUAUAUUAUGCAUGAAUUAUGAUUAUUUAUAAUGUUAUUCUUAUUGGUUCAAUCAAUAAUUACUGUAAGUUCUGAUGGGGUUGAUGCAUUAUGCCUUGCAAAAAAGAUUUCAAUAUUUACACAUUUUUAGAUAUCAUAUUGCAUAUUCUCUUUUUUAAAUCAUAAUUAUUAUUCUUAAGGAGCAAAAUAAGUAUUUUUAUAAUGAAUGAAAUGAAAUGUUUUCAGUGCCAUUUUAGUGUACUUUCUAUAUGUUUUUAUUAUAUGUACAAUAAUGUUUUUGAUGGCUAUGAAUGUUUUAUUGAGCUUUCAUUAACCUGCUUAUAUCAUUAAAAACACUUGUGAGAGGUGUUUGAAAACAGGCUGAGAGACUCGUUUAAUGUUUAAAUAUAGUUAAAGAAACUUUGUCCCACUCAGAUGUUCUAAUAAUAGAAACACUUUAUAUUUGACCAUCAAAAGUGUUUCUGAAGCAGUGUUUCUGCAGGCUGGAGAUGUGAUUCAGCACAUCACGAUUAUCAUGAUUGGCAGAUAUGGUUAGGUGAUGUGAUAUUUUAUUUAUCCUAUAUAAAACAUUUGAAGAAGAUAUUUUGUACAUUUCUGAAAGUUUUUUUUUCUCAUAUGUGAGCUGGGUGCAUUUUGAAGGCUGUGUAGGCCUCUGUGCCUGUGCUUCAGAGAUUAAUGAAGGGAGAUAGGAUGAGAUACGGAAAUAGAUAUUGGGCCUCAUUCAUGAAACAUGAGCAGAACAAAUGUUUGUGUAAAUCGUUCGUAAAGCCGUUCUGGUGUAAACUUUCGAAUUCAUGAAAAUCUUCAUAUUUUAAAUGUACGCCUGCCCCCUACCAUGUGUAAAUGAUAUGUAAAAUGCUCUGUGUUCUUUUUGGCAAACUGAUG